GGAUGACUGAAGCUAUCACCUUGCUAAUCCUUGCUGUCCAAACUGGCCUCAUUGAGCUGCAGGAGUUUGUGGAAGCACUUCCGUGCAGUUUCUCUCUGUCUCUUCCUGCUGAUCUUUCCAGCGUACAUGGCUUAUAUGAUCUGCCAGUUCUUCCACAUGGACUUCUGGCUUCUCAUCAUCAUCUCCUCCUCAAUCCUCACCUCUCUCCAGGUGCUUGGCACUCUGUUGAUCUGUUGUUCUCUUCAUGGUGGAGGAGUUUCGUACAGCUCCAGUGUAGAACAUGGAUGAAGUCAUAUAUUGUGUAAAUGGGAGCUACAGAUUGCUGGAGUUUCUGCUAUGUGUCACACACACACACACACACACACCAACUCUUUGCUAAGUUCUGACUGUAAACAGACACUGUCAUGUAAUGCAUCAGCACUGUCUCUGCCUCACUGUCAGUGAUUUGUUACCUCACCAGGUUGCGGUGUGCGUGGUGUGCUAUGGUGUAUCAGAGACUGUAUUUGGCGAGUGGAGUGUGAUGGGAAGCACCAUCAUCUUGGUCCACUCGUACUAUAACGUCUGGCUCAGAGCCCAGCUGGGCUGGCAGAGCUUCCUGCUCAGGAGAGAUGCUGUAAACAAGAUAAAAAGCCUCCCUACAGCUAGCAAUACACAGCUGGAGCAGUACAUCUCUCUUAUUACCUUUUAGUCGCAUUGGUUGAUGUGUUAAAUGUGCUAUAAAAACUCAAUUUGACUUUGACAUUUCUCAUUUGAAGAGUCUGUUUGUUUAUUUUGAUCGUUUCUGUACAGCUGACCAGAGUUGGUUUCACCCGAGGUCGUUAACUAAAACAACAAUUUGUUCAAAAGACAAAUUUUUGUGAGAUUUAACAAAGUAAAAGGUUUGAUUAUUCAAUUCUCUGUUAAUUCAACUCAGUGUUUACAGCAGUAAAAUAAUUUCUUUUAUUUCCACAGUAGCUUUCCUGGAGAGAUCUGCAGUACUUACCUGCCUAAUGCUCUCAGCCACCUUGGAUGGACAAGACUGCCAAAUGCCUCAGUGUGCUAGUGAAGCGCAGCUGUUUCUUCUAAGCCCGAUUUGAAAAAAAGAUUUAAAAUUGGUUUUGUU